GUGCUUGUUUGGGGAGCACAUAACACUAAAAUUGGAACAAUGCAGAGAUUAGCAUGGCCCCUGAGCAAAGGACGACAUACAAAUUCAGAAAGUGUUCCAGAUAUAU
rnacentral:snRNA from 1 species